CCUACGGGAGGCAGCAGUGGGGAAUAUUGCACAAUGGGCGCAAGCCUGAUGCAGCCAUGCCGCGUGUGUGAAGAAGGCCUUCGGGUUGUAAAGCACUUUCAGCGGGGAGGAAGGCGGUGAGGUUAAUAACCUCAUCGAUUGACGUUACCCGCAGAAGAAGCACCGGCUAACUCCGUGCCAGCAGCCGCGGUAAUACGGAGGGUGCAAGCGUUAAUCGGAAUUACUGGGCGUAAAGCGCACGCAGGCGGUCUGUCAAGUCGGAUGUGAAAUCCCCGGGCUCAACCUGGGAAAUGCAUUCGAAACUGGCAGGCUAGAGUCUUGUAGAGGGGGGUAGAAUUCCAGGUGUAGCGGUGAAAUGCGUAGAGAUCUGGAGGAAUACCGGUGGCGAAGGCGGCCCCCUGGACAAAGACUGACGCUCAGGUGCGAAAGCGUGGGGAGCAAACAGGAUUGGAUACCCGGGUAGUC
rnacentral:rRNA from 1 species